UCCAAAGUCACUGGAGAACCUUCCAUGACAGUUACAUUAGAUAAGAGCCUGGAGAAAUUAGGGGCCUGGCCAGCUAGGCUGACCAUGCUGUUCUUUGCUGAGAUCUCAAAGUCAACCUCAGAGAGACAACUUGAGAAGACCUGCAGUGAGUGACAGCUGGGGCCCUGGCUCUGGCCUUACAGAACUUGAAACUGUUUGUCUGCUGAAGCUCAGCACAGCCCUGUCCCAUGACUAAGGAAUCGCUGUAAACCGACCUCCAGCCUCUGAGUGAGAGGUGACAGACCUUGCGACACAGAAGAGAGAAAGCCCUGGUUCUCAUCUCUCAUGAUGCAGUCUCGACUGGAUCCACGUCUUUCCAAUCAUGAUCUGAGGAGUCUUCCCCUGCCAGCAAA